AAUAAAUUCCUUUUGGCAAACGUUACUCAAAAUUUAUCGUUUGGAUUUUUGCAAUGUGCUUAUAAUGAAGUCUUAUAUAUAAAAUAUAACUUAAGACCACAGUUUAAUUUCGUAUAUUAAACUGAAGAGACGCUAUAGCGUUAAAAAAUAUGAAAAAUAUAUAAAAUUUCUAAUUAAAUGGUAUAUAAUAAUCAGUGCUAUUAAAAUGAAAAAGUGAGUUGAUGUGCAUAUAUAUAUAUAAAAAAAGUAUCACAAAUAUGGGAGACAAUUAGUUACAGGUAUUAAGAAUUCUUGAAAUUUGAAAUUCAAGAAAAUAAUGACAUAUGGUUUUGAUGUAACCAGAACACGUGCUCUGCUCAUGAAACUUGCCUUCUGUAAAAACCGGCGGUCUCGCAAUAUGAAUACUUGACUUUGUUCCUUAGAUGUUAACCGGCUACUGGAAAGAGUGUUGGAAUAACGACGGCGGGAUCAUCUAAUCAGAGACAAGCUAUUUUGUAUAGGUUUUUGGAUUCUUUUUGCGUAGUGGAAAAGUGAAAGAUUAUUAGAUUAUAUUAGAUAGUCUUCUUCUAAUGAGAUGCAGCAACAAUGACGAUUCCAGAAAUUAUGGAACUUUACUUACAGAGAUUGUGAUUAAAUUUUUGUGACUUUUACUGAAUCGCGUAAAAUUUUCAAAAGUUUAAACUCAGUUGUGCCAGUUGUAGUAAAGGGGCCCUUGUGAGAACUAAAGUCUAAUUUCUGUUUUAACUUGGACAUCUAAUUUAUUAGAACGUAUUUGUAGCGUUGAAUUAUUAAAGUAGUAA